rnacentral:lncRNA from 1 species
AUGUUAGUUACGGCAUGGUAAACAUAGCUGGGCUACAGUCACAUUCAUCUUAUCUGUGCUCCAGGGAUGAGCUGGACUUUGAUCCCAAACCUCAUGUUUGUUUGGAGACUCACUACCAGGAAUUCUGCUCUGCACUGCAGACAACAAGAAGGUGCAACAGCAUAUGGAGCGCCAGCAUAUGGAGCCCAACCAUAUGGAGCCCCAGCAUAUGGCGCCCCAGCAUAUGGCGCCCCAGCAUAUGGAGCCCCACCAUAUUGAGCCCAAUGGUAGCAUGCAUAGCCGCGGGAAGUAUACAGUACCAGUCAAAGAUUCUUCAAAGUAGCCACCCUUUGCCUUGAUGACAGCUUUGCACGCUCUUGGCAUUCUCUCAACCAGCUUCAUGAGGUAGUCACCUGGAAUGCAUUUCAAUUAACAGGUGCAGUCGCAAAAACCAUCAAGUGCAAUGAUGAAACUGGCUCUAAUGAGGACUGCCACAGUUUCCUCUGGUGAGGAUAAGUUCAUUAGAGUUACCAGCCUGAGAAAUUGCAGCCCAAAUAUAUGCUUCACAGAGUUUAAGUAACAGAUACAUCUCAACAUCAACUGUUCAGAGGAGACUGUGUGAAUCAAGCCUUCAUGGUCGAAUUGCUGCAAUGAAACGACUACUAAAGGACCCCAAGAAGAAGAAUAGACUUGCUUGGACCAAGAAACACG